ensembl:misc_RNA Metazoa_SRP Metazoan signal recognition particle RNA
GCUGGGUGCAGCGGCAUGUGCCUGUAGUCCCAGCUACUCAGGAGGCUGAGAUGGGAGGAUCUCUUGAGUCCAGGAGUUCUGGGCUGUAGUGCACUGUGUCGAUUGGGUGUCCACACUAAGUUCGGCAUCAAUAUGGUGACCUCCCAGGAGCGGGGGACCACCAGAUUGCCUAAAGAGGGAUGAAUCGGCCCAGGUCAGAAACUGAGCAGGUCAAAACUCCCAUGCUGAUCAGUAGUGGGAUCACGCCUGUACAUAGACACUGCACUCCAGCCUGGGCAACAUAGCGAGACACCCCUGUCUC